AUUGAACGCUGGCGGCAGGCCUAACACAUGCAAGUCGAGCGGAUGAAGGGAGCUUGCUCCCUGAUUUAGCGGCGGACGGGUGAGUAAUGCCUAGGACUCUGCCUGGUAGUGGGGGACAACGUUUCGAAAGGAACGCUAAUACCGCAUACGUCCUACGGGAGAAAGUGGGAGCUCUUCGGACCUCACGCUAUCAGAUGAGCCUAGGUCGGAUUAGCUAGUUGGUGAGGUAAAGGCUCACCAAGGCGACGAUCCGGAACUGGUCUGAGAGAAUGAUCAGACACACUGGAACUGAGACACGGUCCAGACUCCUACGGGAGGCAGCAGUGGGGAAUAUUGGACAAUGGGCGAAAUCCUGAUCCAGCCAUGCCGCGUGUGUGAAGAAGGUCUUCGGAUUGUAAAGCACUUUAAGUUGGGAGGAAGGGCAGUAAGUUAAUACCUUGCUGUUUUGACGUUACCAACAGAAUAAGCACCGGCUAACUUCGUGCCAGCCGCCGCCGUAACAC
rnacentral:rRNA from 1 species